rnacentral:rRNA from 1 species
GACGAACGCUGGCGGCGUGCCUAACACAUGCAAGUCGACUUGAGGGAAGGAGCAAUCUGACCUGAUGGUGGCGCAAGGGUGCGUAACGCGUAAGUAACUUGCCCAAGGUAAGGAAUAACGUCGAGAAAUCGGCGCUAAUACCUCAUAAUGCAGCGGAUCCGCAUGGAUAUGUUGUUAAAGGUUUACCGCCUUGGGAUAUGCUUGCGUCUGAUUAGCUAGUUGGUGUGGUAAUGGCACACCAAGGCUACGAUCAGUAACUGGUCUGAGAGGAUGAUCAGUCACACUGGAACUGAGACACGGUCCAGACUCCUACGGGAGGCAGCAGUGAGGAAUAUUGGGCAAUGCACGAAAGUGUGACCCAGCAACGCCGCGUGGACGGAUGAAGGUAUCUAU